CUUGGUCAUUUAGAGGAAGUAAAAGUCGUAACAAGGUUUCCGUAGGUGAACCUGCGGAAGGAUCAUUAGUGAAUUAUAGGGCGUCUACUUGUAGAGCCUGACCUCCACUUCUAACACUGUGCACUUGAUGGCGAGGUAAUGGAACUUUCGAGUGAAACUACCUUGCGGCUUCAUUUUAAACAUUAGUCAAAGUAUGUAAUGAAAUAAAAAACAAAAAAAAACUUUCAACAACGGAUCUCUUGGCUCUCGCAUCGAUGAAGAACGCAGCGAAAUGUGAUAAGUAAUGUGAAUUGCAGAAUUCAGUGAAUCAUCGAAUCUUUGAACGCACCUUGCGCUCUCUGGUAUUCCGGAGAGCAUGCCUGUUUCAGUGUCAUGAAAUCUCAACCACUAGGGUUUCCUAAUGGAUUGGAUUUGGGCGUUGCGAUCUCUGAUCGCUCGCCUUAAAAGAGUUAGCAAGUUUGACAUUACNUGUCUGGUGUAAUAAGUUUCACUGGGUCCAUUGUGUUGAAGCGUGCUUCUAGUCGUCCGCAAGGACAAUUACUUUGACUCUGGCCUGAAAUCAGGUAGGACUNCCCGCUGAACUUAAGCAUNUCAAUAAGGCGGAGGA
rnacentral:rRNA from 1 species